rnacentral:rRNA from 1 species
UACGGAGGGUGCAAGCGUUAUCCGGAAUCACUGGGUUUAAAGGGUGCGUAGGCGGCCAGAUAAGUCAGUCGUGAAAUGUAUCGGCUCAACCGAUAAGCUGCGAUUGAUACUGUUUGGCUUGAAUGAGGUUGAGGCAGGCGGAAUGUGGCAUGUAGCGGUGAAAUGCUUAGAUAUGCCAUAGAACACCGAUUGCGAAGGCAGCUUGCUGGGCCUUCAUUGACGCUGAGGCACGAAAGCGUGGGGAGCAAACAGG